rnacentral:rRNA from 1 species
AGUGAACGCUGGCGGUAGGCCUAACACAUGCAAGUCGAACGGCAGCACAGUAAGAGCUUGCUCUUACGGGUGGCGAGUGGCGGACGGGUGAGGAAUACAUCGGAACCUACUUUUUCGUGGGGGAUAACGUAGGGAAACUUACGCUCAUACCGCAUACGACCUACGGGUGUAAGCACGCGAUCUUCGGACCUUGCGCGAUUGAAUGAGCCGAUCUCGGAUUAGCUAGUUGGCGGGGUAAAGGCCCACCACGGCGACGAUCCGUAGCUGGUCUGAGAGGAUGAUCAGCCACACUGGAGCUGAGACACGGUCCAAAGUCCUACAGGAGGCAGCAGUGGGGAAUAGUAGACAAUGGGCGAAAGCGGGAUCCAGCCAUACCGCGUGGGUGAUGAAGACCCUCGGGGGGUAUAGCCAUUGUGGUGGGAAAGAAGAGAAGCAGGUUAAUACACCGCUGUUCUGACGGUACCCAAAGAAUAAGCACCGGCUAACUUCGUG